rnacentral:rRNA from 1 species
AAUUAAUAUUUAUUAUGUGUAUAAGUGAAAAAUGUUGAAAUAUUCCCAUAUUCUCUAAGUAUUAUAGAGAAAAGCCAUUUUAGUGAAUGGAUAUAGUAGUGUAAGCUAGCUGUUCUACGACAGAGGGUUCAAAAACUACUAUAGGUAGGCAGUGGUUGCCGACCUCUCAUAUUGUUCAAAACGUAUGUGUUCAUAUGAUUUUGGCAAUUAUAUGAGUAAAUUAAAUCAUAUACAUAUGAAAAUUAAUAUUUAUUAUGUGUAUAAGUGAAAAAUGUUGAAAUAUUCCCAUAUUCUCUAAGUAUUAUAGAGAAAAGCCAUUUUAGUGAAUGGAUAUAGUAGUGUAAGCUAGCUGUUCUACGACAGAGGGUUCAAAAACUACUAUAGGUAGGCAGUGGUUGCCGACCUCUCAUAUUGUUCAAAACGUAUGUGUUCAUAUGAUUUUGGCAAUUAUAUGAGUAAAUUAAAUCAUAUACAUAUGAAAAUUAAUAUUUAUUAUGUGUAUAAGUGAAAAAUGUUGAAAUAUUCCCAUAUUCUCUAAGUAUUAUAGAGAAAAGCCAUUUUAGUGAAUGGAUAUAGUAGUGUAAGCUAGCUGUUCUACGACAGAGGGUUCAAGAACUACUAUAGGUAGGCAGUGGUUGCCGCCCUCUCAUAUUGUUCACAACGUAUGUGUUCAUAUGAUUUUGGCACUUAUCAUGAGUCAACUUAAAUCAUAUACAUAUGCCAAUUAAUAUUUAUCUAUGUGUAUAAGUGAAAAAUGUUCAAAUAUUCCCAUAUUCUCUAAGUAUUAUAGAGAAAAGCCAUUUUAGUGAAUGGACAUAGUCCUGUAAGCUAGCUGUUCUACGCCAGAGGGUUCAAGAACUACUAUAGGUAGGCAGUGGUUGCCGCCCUCUCAUAUUGUUCCAAACGUAUGUGUUCAUAUGAUUGUGGCACAUUACAUGAGUAACUUAAAUCAUAUACAUAUCCAAAUGAAUAUUUACUUAUAUGCAUACGGAACAAUGUUCAAAUAUUCCCAUAUUCUCUAAGUAUUAUAGAGAAAAGCCAUUUUAGUGAAUGGACAUAGUAGUGUAAGCCAGCUGUUUUACGACAGAGGGUUCAAAGUACUACUAUAGG